UGUGAGGGAUGGGCUCGGCAUCACAGU
rnacentral:piRNA from 1 species